rnacentral:rRNA from 1 species
CCCGCACAAGCGGAGGAGCAUGUGGUUUAAUUCGAUGAUACGCGAGGAACCUUACCUGGGCUCGAACGUAAGAUGACUGUAGGUGAAAGCUCACAUCUCUUCGGAGCAUUUUACGAGGUGCUGCAUGGUUGUCGUCAGCUCGUGCCGUGAGGUGUCGGGUUAAGUCCCAUAACGAGCGCAACCCUACCUUUAGUUGCCAUCAGGUAAUGCUGGGGACUCUAAAGGAACUGCCUACGCAAGUAGUGAGGAAGGCGGGGAUGACGUCAAAUCAGCACGGCCCUUACGUCCAGGGCUACACACGUGCUACAAUGGCCGAUACAGAGGGCAGCUACCUGGUGACAGGAUGCAAAUCUCCAAAGUCGGUCUCAGUUCGGAUCGGAGUCUGCAACCCGACUCCGUGAAGUUGGAUUCGCUAGUAAUCGCGCAUCAGCCAUGGCGCGGUGAAUACGUUCCCGGGCCUU